CUCCUGGCCUCAAGCAAUACUUGUACCUCCUACCUGACUGCUAGGAUUACAGGUGUGAGCCACUGUGCCCAGCCUCCAUCCAGCUGUCUUUCUGUAUACUCGCAUAGAAAGAUGACUGCAACUUCAUCGUCUGCUGUUGAAGAUAGAAAUGACCAGGAAGUUGGUAACCAUAUAGAGAUGCAUGAAGAAAAUAAGGAGAGACUUUUGAAUCAAGUAAACUUCAUCUAUAGGAAAAUAUAUACUAAGAAAGGCUAUGGAUAUGAAACAUUGUAAAAAGCAUUCCAUUGAGACAAAAAGUCCAUGAGUAUGUCUUAAGUGGAAAGAGUUUGAAACAUAAUUUAGAUGUACUUAAUUGUAGAAGAAAGAACCUUUUUGAAUUUAAUGGAGGUGAAAAAUCAUUCAGUUAUAAUUCAUCUAAAUAAAAGAUAAGAAAAUUCAUACAGUGAAGAAAACGUAUGGAUUUGGUGACUGUGGGAAAGUGUUCAAACAGAAGUCAUACCUGAUGGGACACCAGAAAAUAUAUACUAGAGAGAAGCUCUAUGGAUGUAAUGAGUGCAGGAAAGCCUUUGUUGAUUGUUCAUCCCAUGCUAGGCACAUAAAAUCCUAUAUGCAUGAGAGACCCUAUAAAUGCAAUUUCUGCCUGAAAGCCUGUGGCAGAAAACAUACCUCAUUAUACACCAGAGAAUUCACAUUAGCAAGAAACCUUAUGAUUUUAGUCAGCAUGGAAAAGCCUUUAUUGAUAGUCCAUCUCUUUUUCAACAUAUGAGAAAUUAUAUAAGGAGAAUCUCUAUGAAUGCAAUCAGUGUGGAAAGGCCUUCAGGUGAAGCUCAACUUUCUUGGAGCAUGAGGGAACCCAUACAGGGGAGAAGCCCUAUGACUGUAAAGAAGGUGGUAGAACGUUCAAUAAGACAUCCCAGCUCAUUAUUCAUCAUAGAACUUAUACUGAGGAGAAAUUCUAUGCAUGUACUGAAUGUGGGUAAUCCUUCACUGAUCAUUCCACCUUCAGGCAUCAUAUUAGAACUCUCACUGGAGAGAAACCUUGUAAAUGUAAUGAAUGUGGAAAAGCCUUCUGCCAUGUGACUGGUCUCAUUUGACACAAGAGAAUCCAUAGUGGAGAGAAACUAUAUAUUUCUAGUGUAUAUGAGGAAUCCUUCUGAAAUAGCUUGGUCCUUUCUCAAAUAAGAGAACUCAUACUGAAGAAGCCCUGUGAAUGUGAUGAGUGUGGAAAAGUCUUUGCUCAUAGUUUGUCCCUCAGUCAACAUGCAAGAACUCAUACAGACAAAAAAAAUCUUGUGACUCACUAGAUGUCAGAAUUAACUAAAUGUUUAUUAGACACUAAAUGGUUCAUAUUAUAGAUUACCUUUAGUAAUUUAUCAAGCUUAAUGAAACUUAUACAUCUUCAAACUCUAUUAUAUUAGAAGUCAUUUUGCAAGCCUAAUAGCCAACUACUAUUAAAUGUUUAUAGAACAUACUUAUGUUAGGCCUAUUUUUUGUAUAGUAUAAAGGUUUAAAACAUACAGUAGGAAGAAAAGAACAACAGAAUAAUACUAUAUGCACUUCAAUAGAGUAUCUUAUAAUGUUAUAUAUAAGGUCAAUAGUUACUUCUUAGUAUUUUUUACAUAUGAAUACAUAUAUUGAUUUUUAAGAAAUCAGAAGGAAACACAUUCAUUUUAUGAUUAUUCAUUUAGAAUAUUACAUGCAAAGGUGGUGGGGAAACUGAUUCACUGGGGUAAAUGGAGAUAUAUUACUUUCCUGUUAGCAUUUGUGUGAAUACUGCAUUUUUAAAAUGCCUAAUCCAACACUUAAACCAAAAUGUUACUUGCUUCCUUACCACAAUGUUGCUUGAUAUUAUGUAAAAUCAGAAUUAAAUCUCCAUAAAUGAUUACAAAACUCUGAUAUAUACAAUACUGAAUCUGAUCAGUCUUCUCAAGUACACUUUAUGAAUUUAAAAAGUAAAUUGUAUACAUGUUUCUAAAUAUUUAUUUUAAUUGCUAUUUUGGACCAUGAGUUGCAACUAUCAUAAAACAAAAGUGAUCUUUGGGGUCAAAUAGGUGUUAUCUGUCAAAGUUGUUACCUCCUGCAUUUGUAUUACUUCAUCCAAGCACAAGAAGAAGGUUAGUGAGCCUUUUUUGCAUGAUGUUUGGAAUAAAUGGACAGUCACACAAUAAACACUAUUUUGUGGCCACAGAGCA